CCUACGGGUGGCAGCAGUGGGGAAUAUUGCACAAUGGGGGGAACCCUGAUGCAGCGACGCCGCGUGGGUGAAGGAGUAUUUCGGUAUGUAAAGCCCUAUCAGCAGGGAAGAACAAUGACGGUACCUGACUACGAAGCACCGGCUAAAUACGUGCCAGCAGCCGCGGUAAUACGUAUGGUGCAAGCGUUAUCCGGAUUUACUGGGUGGAAAGGGAGCGCAGGCGGCGCGUUAAGCCUGGGGUGAAAGUCCGCGGCCCAACCGCGGGACUGCAUUGGGAACCGGCGCGCUGGAGUGCCGGAGGGGUAGGCGGAAUUCCUGGUGUAGCAGUGAAAUGCGUAGAUAUUAGGAGGAACACCAGUGGCGAAGGCGACCUACUGGACGGUGACUGACGCUGAGGCUCGAAAGCGUGGGGAGCAAACAGGAUUAGAUACCCUAGUAGUC
rnacentral:rRNA from 1 species